UACGAAGGGGCUAGCGUUGCUCGGAAUCACUGGGCGUAAAGCGCACGUAGGCGGACUCUUAAGUCGGGGUGAAAUCCUGGAGCUCAACUCCAGAACUGCCUUCGAUACUGGGAGUCUUGAGUUCGGGAGAGGUGAGUGGAACUGCGAGUGUAGAGGUGAAAUUCGUAGAUAUUCGCAAGAACACCGGUGGCGAAGGCGGCGACCUGGUCCGAUACUGACGCUGAGGCGCGAAAGCGUGGGGAGCAAACGGG
rnacentral:rRNA from 1 species